GAUGAACGCUGGCGGCGUGCCUAAUACAUGCAAGUCGAGCGAACAGACGAGGAGCUUGCUCCUCUGACGUUAGCGGCGGACGGGUGAGUAACACGUGGAUAACCUACCUAUAAGACUGGGAUAACUUCGGGAAACCGGAGCUAAUACCGGAUAAUAUAUUGAACCGCAUGGUUCAAUAGUGAAAGACGGUUUUGCUGUCACUUAUAGAUGGAUCCGCGCCGCAUUAGCUAGUUGGUAAGGUAACGGCUUACCAAGGCAACGAUGCGUAGCCGACCUGAGAGGGUGAUCGGCCACACUGGAGCUGGGACACGGUCCAGACUCCUACGGGAGGCAGCAGUAGGGAAUCUUCCGCAAUGGGCGAAAGCUUGACGGAGCAACGCCGCGUGAGUGAUGAAGGUCUUCGGAUCGUAAAACUCUGUUAUUGGGGAAAAACAGAUGUGUAAGUAACUAUGCACGUCUUGACGGUACCUAAUCAGAAAGCCACGGCUAACUACGUG
rnacentral:rRNA from 1 species